rnacentral:lncRNA from 1 species
AAGGGAUAAAGAUACCAGUAAAGGACAAAAUACACAUUAUCACCCAUUUAGAGCAAGGAAACAGCUUAAUUUUUAAAACAAUGACUUGUCUCUAAGGUAUGCUUCUUGUAUCCCAGGAAUUUAUGGGCUGCUAAGUCUCAGAAGUAUGCUUACUAACGGUCCCAGCUGUGAUCUAUGGCUAUGAAUUGAAAAGGAGGAGUUCCAACUCCUUAAAGAGAAAGGCAGUGGCUGGAGAAAAGGAGUGUCAUUGAUAGAAGCCUUCAGUGUAUGUGCUUUGGCUGGGCAAGGUUAAGUGGAAGACUCAGAGAUGCAGUGAACGAAGAUUUCUAUAUCCAGCCUAGAAGCCAAGCCAAGUUUCACAUAAAAGACAGAACAGCGAAAAAGAGAAAUCAUGACAGGACUGUAAGAAAAAACAUUUGAGAGAGAAUUUGGAGCAAAUAUUGCAGAUCUGAAAUUUGUUACACAGAUGCAACAGGUAUUUAAAGACAUUUACAUUUGUUACAAACCUUUAAUUGGUUUCAUAAAAAGGAAUUAAACUAGAAGGACGAGACUGUUUUAGUUUGCACAAUGAGACUAUAUCUGGUUGAGUUUUGGACAGUUGCAACUGAAUAUCAUACCCUGCAUUCAGACAUUAUCUUUAUUUUGUUUUAGUAGAAACUUAUACAGAAAACCCUGUUUCACGUAAACAAGUAAUUUUGAAGGACAGAAGAAUAAGUUUAACUUUAUCUGAUAAGAUUUUAAGCUCAUCAUUAAAAUUCUAAAUUAAUCUGUUGCUUCUCGAGUGAUUGAAGUGAAAGAAAAAUUUGCAAAACUUUUUUGACUGAAAGCAAGAAAAAUGAGAAUAAUAAUAAUAAUAAUUUUAUUCUUAUAUCCCGCCCCAUCUCCCUGAUGGGGCUCAGGGCGGCUUACAUGGGGCCAAAACCGAACAGAACAAUAUAAAAACAAAACAAUAAAACCAAUCAAUCAGACAAUAAAAACAAGUCAUAAAAAACCACAUACAAGAUAAAGUGUUAAAAUCAUGGAUUGGGUCCAAAGAAUCUAGGCCAAAGUCCUAAAAGUGCAAAUAUAUCAUGUCAUCAAUGUGGAGGGUGGUUACUCAGCUAUGAUGGCUAUAAAGUGCCAUUAUAAUACUGGGGAAGGCAUACACUGUUAAUGCAAGUACUGACUUGAGAAGCAAGUAACAGCAGUUUUAUAUGCAAUGAAACCCUUUCCAGAUAAUUCUUGAAAGGUGUUGAAUCUUCUCAUUGUUUCUGGUUUGUGGAAAAACGAAGAUAUCCACUGACACAGGAACCCAUUGGAAACAAUGACUCUGUCUAUGUCUGUCCGGCAACGUAUUGUCUGUAUGCAUUGUGUAUUCUUACAGUAUUUUAGUUCCCAGCAGCUGACUGGCGAACUAUAGAGUCUAUAGUUUGUGUUUUACAUGGAAAGUGCUAAAUAUAUUAUCUACUCUACUCAGGGCUUUUCUACACACUUGUCAUGGGCGCAUAAAAUCACUAUACUGGGAUCCUCC